AGUUAAUUUGUAUCAGUUUGGUUCCCAAUCUUUUUAAAUCGUAUCAGUACACCAAAUACUCAUUUCCAUAACAUAUAAAUAUAAUAGUAUUAAAAAAGUAUUAUCAUACAUAAAAUAAUAAAACAAUUGGUGGGAAAAAAAUUGGCGGUACAAAAUUUUUUGGAGCCCGCUUUUUUAUUUCAAAACCUCUAAACACUUCUGACCAUCCCUCAAGCACCUCUUCAAAACCUCAUCUUCCUCCGCCACCGCCUUCAGAGCAAGACGCUCUUCCUCUUCUUUUUCUUCUUCUCCGCUGCUUAUUCGCUCUUGUUCUUCCGCCGCCACCGCUGCUAAUCCCAACGCCCAUAAUCGUCGCUCAUCCUCCUCUUCUUCUUCUACUACUUCUAGUCCAGAGUCAGUUCGAGCUAUUCGCUUGUAGAAGAUAGAAGAAUUGAGAAGCAAAGGGCUGGAAUCGUAUGCAUAUAAGUGGGACAGGGCUCACUCUGCUAAUCAGUUGCAAGAGACUUAUAAAAAUUUAGAAAAUGGUGAAGAAAUGAAUGGUGAGCAAGACAAUGUAUCAAUAGCCGGAAGAAUUGUGGCUCGUCGAGCAUUUGGAAAGCUUGCAUUUCUCACUCUAAGAGAUGAUUCUGGGACAAUUCAGGGGAGCUUUCUGUCUAUGUGAACUCUUUUGCAAGUCUUACAAAAUCUCUACUGCCCUUGCCAGACAAAUAUCAUGGUCUAACUCAUGUGGAUAAGCGUUACCGGCAACAGUUUCGAAGGCCCAAGUUGUUGGUGUUAAAAGUUUGUGCUUUUCCCCAAAUUUCCAAAUGUUUUAAAGGUUCUUUCUUUGAUUCUGUAUCUUAAUAUAUUGUUCUAUAUUAUGACAUAAUAUAAUUGGUUUGUCUUUAACAGUCUCCAAUAGGAGAUGAAGUUUCAAUAAGAAUGGUUUAGUGUCCCCAAUCCGGUUUCUCAAGGUCAAAUUCCCUGGUCUUGUGCAUUGUUCCUUGAGGUUGGUUUCCAUAUUUUAUGAAUAUCUUGAAAUGAUAUAGCAAAGUCUAUUCCUUCCUUUUGGUCAACUGCUGUAAGUGAUCUGUGUUUUCCUUUCCUUUUAACUUCUGUAAAGAGAUUAUGGCCUUCUGUUUUCUGGUUAAUGAAUUGUUUAAAAAUAAUGAUUUUUCUUCUUCCUCUUCUUCUUUUGUACAGUUUCUAAAUCACCCUGCUCUUGAUGGUCUUUUAAGUGAUAAAGAUUGAAAGAUUUUCAAACAUCUUACUACCUUGAGGUGCAUACACGGAUCCUUGUAUUGCUAUAUGAAUUGAGGUCAACUUAAUUUUCUUAUUGCUUGUCAGAAAUUCAGAAUGCACGCGGCAUAAUGGAUGUUCUUACAUAAAUACUUAGCGCAAUUGAUCUAGAGAAUAAAGAGUGUUUAGAUGAGGUUCAGUCAUAUAUCCUCGUUGAAAGAUCUUUGGAGAAGUACAAUGUUGUUCUUGACUCUAUAGUUCAAGACUUUCCUCGUGUGGUAUUGCUUCAAUACUACAUUGAACGACAGUGCCUGCUGAAAUGUACGAGGAGGGUUCUCAUGCAUGCUUUAUCUCUAGGAAAUGGCUCUCAGAGAGAUGUCGAUAUAUGGAAGGAGGCACUAAACCUCAUUUCUGAUGGUUUAGAAGGAAAACUAUUGUCUGUUCUCCAAGAGCUUCUAUCUUCUAGUCACCCUAACCAAAUAAUUCACCAAAGGAGAUCUUCCUAAGUAUGAAGUGAGUCUCCAAUAGGAGAUGAAGUUUCAAUAAGAAUGGUUUAGUGCCCCCAAUCUGGUUUCUCAAGGUCAAAUUCCCUCGUCUUAUUGAUGUAGGCAUUGGAUCUUCAUCAUUUGCAAGAGGUGUCAUUGACCUUGUCUUGGGACAUGUCACAAGUUUGGUGAUUGACCUGGCUAUUUCAAUAGAGGAAAGCCUUAACAUACAUGGUGGGGCUGUAUCAUUGGGACACCCAUUAGGAUGCAGUGGAGCUCGUAUCUUGGUCACAUUGUUAGGGAUGUGACAAGCGAAGUAGAAAAGGAUACUUAAGACAUUUGAAAGUAGUAACUUUAUUUAUUUCUUUGUGUUGAAAGUAGUAACUUUUAACUAUGUUGAAUAUUUAAGACUCUUUGAAUACUUAAAGAACAUUUUGUUGUUGAUGACAGUGUUGAAUGUUUUAAACUAAUUUGUGGAUUGUUAAUACAAUGUUGAAUGUUCUUA